UAUCGGAGUGAGGCCAGGAAAGGUGAGCCUGGGAGCUGUCGGGAGCCAUGUUACCAGUUCACAGAGGAUGCAGGGAGGAGCAGAGCCCAGCUAGGCAGAGUCCCUGAUUCCGGCUUUUCUCUGUGGUCCCUCACAGCCCAAGGUGGGGUCCCAACACCCCUGGGGCACAGCCACAUUAGUGGCUUUGCUGCCACAUGCCAUGGCCUGCUGAUCCCCUCCUUCAUUCCCUCCCAGCUAAGUCUACAUUUUAUCUGAGAGUCUACUCCUCUCACUUCGGUCCUGGCAUCCCUCUCUGUCUUAAGGCCAGUUUCAGCAGAUUUCUGCCCUUUUCAAACAAAAUGCCCUUUGAAUAUAAGGUUGCAGAGAAAUUUUAAGAACCACAAUUGCUGAAUGAGCUGCCAGGCCUCCCUCUCCCAAACUGAAACCACAUGUCUGUGUCUGUGUCUAGACCUAGAGCUAGAAGGUCUGUCAUCUCUUUCCUUCAGCACAUCUGCUCCACUCUCCUCCAUCCAAGCCUCUCCCUCCCUUACUCUCAACACGCACUUAGCAGAGCUUGACGCCCCAGAGCGCAGCCCCUGCCGGGAGCCAGCACACCUUGCAUUUCAGUUCCCUGCAACUAACCUCAUCUCCGUGCCCUGAUUUCAAAUUCCCAUGAGACACACUCUGAUUGGCCGGGUCUGAGUCAGGUGACUUCGGCCUGGCCAAUCAACGGGGGCUGGGGGCGGCCGCCACGGAGAACUAGCCGCCCCUUCCUGGCGCGGGAGCGGCGGUGGCGGGGCUGGUCGAGCGCAGGGGGUGGUGACCGCCGCCGGCGCCCAGAGCGGGGCCAGGGACGCCGCGUGCUGGGCCCCAGGCCCGUGGACAGCAUCGCCGGAACUCCGGGCACGAGGGAGGCUACCUGUGAUAAAGGCGCUGCUCUGCUGCCCGUCUCCGCACUCCGCCAGCGCCUCUUGUCAGUUUUAUAUCGCAGGGGACGCUACCCUGCUCGCAGGCUGCCCGACUGCAGACAUAAAACCAAAUGGUUCAGAAAGCUCUGGCGAAGGGACGGGAACAACGUGGUGCCCAGACUGGGGGAGAGCAGCUCUGUCCAGGGCCUUACAGUCGACUGGCGCAAGGACUAGGUUGCAGGGCUUAGAAUCCACUAGUGUGACUUUGGUCAAGGCUCUCUACCUUCCUGGACCACAGGUUUUGCAGCUAUGAAAUGGGCAUAAUGUUGCAGCACUGCUUCUUUGGGACUCUGGGUAAUCCUUGCCUCUUAAAGCCCCUUAAGCUUCACAGGAGAAUCCAACCUCAGUGGGAAAUGGGGUUCCUGCUCCGGCUGUCAGCUGCAUAAGCCAGCUAGGCCACAGGGGUAGGGAGCUGGGGACCUCUGCCUCGUCCCAAGCCCAGCCAAGUCAGCCCCUUGGAGAAUUUGGGCUUCUUGCCAACAUGCAUAAUUAUGAGGUGUCAUGCACAUCCAUGGCUAUUCCCAUUCUAGACUGAGCUCUCACCUCCUCCUUGCAGGGACCGCCUGUGCUGUAGGACCCCCACUGUGAGCCCUACUCCUGGGCCUCAGUCUCUUCUGUUACCGGCAUCCCACCAACACUGCCCCCACCUGAUGCCAGCCCACACUGGGAGCUGAAGGGCGACUGACUCCUUUCCUCCUCUGGCCAUUCCUACAGCCCUUCUCCAGGCGGGAAGGGACACUUGUGUCAACUGGGCUAGCCCUACCACACUUCUCUCUACCACAUGCCCAAGGCCCAGGUUGGAUGCUAAGAGGGACCAGGCUGAGUCUAGGUCACAAGCAAGUACAAUGACUGCAUACCUCCUUAUCUGCCACCUACUCCCUGAAUAAAGCCUUCACUAGCCUGGAAGGACAUCUAGGGGACACUGCAGCCCAAGGGUGGUGACAGGGGUUAGGGGGCUACAUCUCAGCCUCUCAGAUCACUGUCCAGGAAGGCUCAGAGGCCAUCUUCUCUGGGAGCAGGGUUCUGGGGCACCCACAUGGCCGCUCACACCCAUGCACUCCUGGCGCCUGCUUUUGCUCAAUAAAGACGCAUUAAUGGA